rnacentral:rRNA from 1 species
GACAGAGGGGGCAAGCGUUGCUCGGAAUUACUGGGCGUAAAGGGCGCGUAGGCGGCCAGCACAAGUCAGUUGUGAAAUCUCCGAGCUUAACUCGGAAAGGUCAACUGAUACUGUGCGGCUAGAGUGCGGAAGGGGCAACUGGAAUUCUUGGUGUAGCGGUGAAAUGCGUAGAUAUCGAGAGGAACACCUGCGGCGAAGGCGGGUAGCUGGGCCGACACUGACGCUGAUGCGCGAAAAGCCAGGGGAGCAAACGGG